GAUGAACGCUGGCGGCGUGCCUAACACAUGCAAGUCGAACGAACAGACGAGACGCUUGCCUCUCUGAUGUUAGAGGCGGUCGGGAGUGGAACACGUGGAUAAACCACCUAUAAGACUGGGAUAAACUCGAGAAACCGUAACUAAAACCGGAGAAUCUUCUGAACCACAAGGAGCAAAAGUAAAAGACGGCCUUGCUGCCUCUACUAGCUGAUUCCGGGCUGUAUUAGCUAGUUGGUAAGGUAACCGCUUACCAAGGCAACGAUUAAUAGACGAACUGAGAGGAUGAUCGGCCACACUGGAACUAAGACAAGGUCCAGACUACUACGGGAAGCCGCAGUAGGGAAUCUGACACAAGGGGCGAAAGCCUGACGGAGCAAAGCAGCGUGAGUGAUGAAGGUCUUCGGCUCGUAAACCUAUGUUAUCGGGGAAGAACAUAUUUGAGAUUACCUGUGCACAGCUUGACGGUACCUAGUAAGAACGCAACGGCUAACUACGUG
rnacentral:rRNA from 1 species